rnacentral:tRNA from 1 species
GCCGACGUAGCUCAAUUGGCAGAGCAGUGGUUUUGUAAACCACAGGUUCCGGGUUCGAGUCCCGUCGUCGGCUCCA